CUCUUAUUCAGAGUGGUGGAGGUACAUAGGACCUGAGAAGCCACGGCAACCCCAUAAUGGAAGGUGCCUACCUGAGCGAGCAAGGAGCCAACUGGCAAAUCGAACAAUAAGAG
rnacentral:ncRNA from 2 species